rnacentral:rRNA from 1 species
GAUGAACGCUGGCGGCGUGCCUAAUACAUGCAAGUCGAGCGAACAGACGAGGAGCUUGCUCCUCUGACGUUAGCGGCGGACGGGUGAGUAACACGUGGAUAACCUACCUAUAAGACUGGGAUAACUUCGGGAAACCGGAGCUAAUACCGGAUAACAUGUUGAACCGCAUGGUUCAACAGUGAAAGACGGUCUUGCUGUCACUUAUAGAUGGAUCCGCGCCGCAUUAGCUAGUUGGUAAGGUAACGGCUUACCAAGGCAACGAUGCGUAGCCGACCUGAGAGGGUGAUCGGCCACACUGGAACUGAGACACGGUCCAAACUCCUACGGGAGGCAGCAGUAGGGAAUCUUCCGCAAUGGGCGAAAGCCUGACGGAGCAACGCCGCGUGAGUGAAGAAGGUCUUCGGAUCGUAAAACUCUGUUAUUAGGGAAGAACAAAUGUGUAAGUAACUAUGCACGUCUUGACGGUACCUAAUCAGAAAGCCACGGCUAACUACGUG